AGAGUGGAAACUGAAGAGCCAUUAUUUUACUGGUUAUGCCGUUUGCUACAUAUCAGUGCUACUACUGUUAAUUAUAGGAAGUCUUGCACUUUCAUGUGGAUUCAGAACAAUACCAUGAAACUCCUGAGUGCAGUUAUUUUGGACCAAUUAACUUCAACCUCUUAACAACUUCAGAAAGCACGUGCUGUUUCCCAAGAUGUGCUAGUAAUGAGUGAAUUUACUUCCCAUCUUUCCAUUUCACUUUCAUGCUUCAGGAAUUAAGAUGCCAAAGACUGCUGAAUUUUUCCAAAUACCAGCAAACAAAAUGACAGUGAAAUGUUUUAAGAUUUGUUGCUUUCUGCCACAACUGACAAGUACUUUAGAAAAAUAUACUCAGGAUAAUAAGUGUUGUCUAUAAAAUAUUGAAAACUAACAUUAAGCUAAAUGUGGAGACGAAGUUAAAGAACAUGGUAUGAAUGAAAAAUACUUUUUCAAAGAUAAUUUUCUGGCCACUGCUCUUUGAAAGGAGGUGUGCCUUUCCAAGUGCUUUAUGGUCAGUUUCCCACAGAGGUUAUCAAGCUCCAGUGCUUCU